rnacentral:tRNA from 1 species
GCCUCCAUCGUCUAGGGGACUAGGACGUAGCCCUUUCAAGGCUAAGACCGGAGUUCGAAUCUCCGUGGAGGCA